rnacentral:rRNA from 1 species
CAAACGGUAGCAAGCUACCGUUUGUUUCUAGCGGCGGACGGGUGAGUAACGCGUGAGCAACCUGCCUUUAUCAGGGGGAUAACGCAUCGAAAGAUGUGCUAAUACCGCGUAAGACCACAGCUUCACAUGGAGCGGGGGUCAAAGGAGCAAUCCGGAUAAAGAUGGGCUCGCGUCCGAUUAGCUAGUUGGUGAGAUAACAGCCCACCAAGGCGACGAUCGGUAGCCGACCUGAGAGGGUGAUCGGCCACAUUGGAACUGAGAGACGGUCCAGACUCCUACGGGAGGCAGCAGUGGGGAAUAUUGGGCAAUGGGCGAAAGCCUGACCCAGCAACGCCGCGUGAGGGAAGAAGGGUUUCGGCUCGUAAACCUCUGUCCUAUGGGACGAAGGAAGUGACGGUACCAUAGGAGGAAGCCCCGGCUAACUACGUGCCAGCAGCCGCGGUAAUACGUAGGGGGUGAGCGUUGUCCGGAAUGAUUGGGCGUAAAGGGCGCGUAGGCGGCCUGCUAAGUCUGGAGUGAAAGUCCUGCUUUCAAGGUGGGAAUUGCUUUGGAUACUGGUGGGCUGGAGUGCAGGAGAGGAAAGCGGAAUUACCGGUGUAGCGGUGAAAUGCGUAGAGAUCGGUAGGAACACCAGUGGCGAAGGCGGCUUUCUGGACUGAAACUGACGCUGAGGCGCGAAAGCGUGGGGAGCAAACAGGAUUAGAUACCCUGGUAGUCCACGCGGUAAACGAUGAAUGCUAGGUGUAGGAGGUAUCGACCCCUUCUGUGCCGCAGUAAACACAAUAAGCAUUCCGCCUGGGGAGUACGGCCGCAAGGUUGAAACUCAAAGGAAUUGACGGGGGCCCGCACAAGCAGCGGAGCAUGUGGUUUAAUUCGAAGCAACGCGAAGAACCUUACCAGGUCUUGACAUCCGUGUAAAGCCGCAGAGAUGCGGUGUGAGCUUGCUCAAUACGAGACAGGUGGUGCAUGGUUGUCGUCAGCUCGUGUCGUGAGAUGUAGGGUUAAGUCCCGCAACGAGCGCAACCCCUAUCUUCAGUAGCCAGCAGGUUAAGCUGGGCACUCUGGAGAGACUGCCAGGGAUAACCUGGAGGAAGGUGGGGAUGACGUCAAAUCAUCAUGCCCCUUAUGACCAGGGCUACACACGUGCUACAAUGGCGUAAACAAAGAGAAGCGAACUCGCGAGGGUAAGCAAAUCUCAAAAAUAACGUCUCAGUUCGGAUUGUAGUCUGCAACUCGACUACAUGAAGCUGGAAUCGCUAGUAAUCGCAGAUCAGAAUGCUGCGGUGAAUACGUUCCCGGGUCUUGUACACACCGCCCGUCACACCAUGGGAGUCAGUAACGCCCGAAGUCAGUGACCCAACCGUAAGGAGGGAGCUGCCGAAGGUGGGACCGAUAACUGGGGUGAAGUCGUAACAAGGUA